AUGGCAGCCGCACAGUUCAUUAAAGCGACUUUUUUUUUAGUGUACAUUUCCUUCACUGAUUCAGAGUAAUAUUCUGGGGCAAAAGAAAUUCACAAGCAAUCUGCAGAUAUCUAAAAGUGUGAGCUCGGCAGAGUUCAGAUGCAAUCAAAAAAUUGCUUUUAGCCCCGCGAGGGAAUUCAGCAAGAAAUUUACACACUGACGCCUAACUUUCCUCCCACAGAUCCCAAUAGUUCUCUCGAAGAAAAAAUAUGCUGAAUAACCGAUCUUCGGCGGUAAGUGUAUUAAUAGAAUUCUGUGCUACAGUUACUCAGAAUUAUGAUCGAACACAAAUUUAGUCCACAUUUUCAUUCAAUACGUUUGCAAGUGGGCAAGUACGCUUCACUAAGAGAACGCAAGCAACGAUAUGGAGCAAAAAAGCUGAUAAGGGAGCAAAGCAACCUAUUGGCAGAACUAACAAAAUUUAAAGGCAGUUUAUUCCACACCCGCAGGAUCGGGGUAUAUUCAUUUGGUCGCAACGUUUGCAAUAUCUAAGUUAUGAAGAUAUCAAAUUUGGCAGAAAGAUUGAAAGUUCUAGGCAUUGAAACUGGAUCAAAUCGGCCAAGUAACACACAUCACGAGUGCAACAUGAACGGAAUGCGUCUCUGCUUUAUAAGUUUUUACUAUUCUACAAAGAUGAGAAGAAGUAGCCACGCCCACUCAAUCUUAUAAAGUAUGAAAAUGUAGUUUCUCACCCUCACACCACCUUUCGGGAUUAGCAAACCACCAAUCAAUUGUUAUUAUUGAUGAAAAGUAAUCGGUGUCAGAAUUUUCAAGCUCACACUGACUGUAAACGAUAUUUUUCUCAGUGACAAGUAUUGUUUAAUUAACGCAAGAAAUUUCCGACUUUUCCAUUAUUUUCGAACUAACGAAAAUAAUGUCGCUAAAACCACCUGCACUCUUAUAAUACAGCGAAUAAUCGGAAUGACAUGAAACGUUGCCAGGCAUUAUUUGAGAGCCG